GACAAAAUGUUCUAUUUAUUAACAUGACAUGCAUACUUUUCUAUCUACCAAAUGAGUAAUGUGUCUAUCACUAACAUGUUAUCUGAAACAAAAUAGAUUGAUUUCAUUUUGGAUUUUGAACUUGAACUCAAAUUUAAACACGUGGAUUGUCUCUGUUUUCUAUAUCUAUUGUGGGACCUAUGUAUCAUGACUUGUCUUAUAAAGCCAUUUCACCCCUAUGCCAAAUUAAAUUAUUGAUAAAAUCAAACAUGAUAUAAUCUGCACCGGAAAAGAGGAUCAAGUUAAAAUAGGUACCUGUUUGAUGUGCCAAUAUCAUUACUUGAAUAAAGAGUUUUUUACAAGUAUUUAACAAGACACUAUUUAGCUUUAUCGUCACAAUCUUACUUAUUUCAUUUUUGGCAAAAAAUAUACAAGUAUACCUAUUUUUCCUUCCCCCUAAGCAAUAAACAGGUUAUAAAAUCUGUAUGUAAAUGUGAAAAAGGAAUGAAAGUUGUAACAAGGAAUGAACCAAAUGAGAAUGUUUUUCAACUUCUUACAAGACGAGUAAUUCAUCUUUUCAGAAUCUAAAGGACUGUGGGUAAUCUCAUUGCUCGUAAACCAAAAUAAAAAUAACGUUACAUCAUUCGUUCAAAUUCCAUUGUUUACAACAUUUUAAACCAAUCACAACAUUUUGGUGUACGCCUUUGAAAAUAUUACCCAGAAUGCAUUAGAUUCUGAAUCGGCGAAUUGAAAGACUUUUGUGCUGAAUUUUUUAGCACAGUUGUCAGAUAAACUACUGGGUACAUGAAACUUCUAUAAGUACAUGCUCAAAAGAUACAACAAUAACUUUUUAAGUAGAUGUUGGUUUGUAGGAUUUCUAACUGGUAUAUUUUAUGUUUAUUUGUUCUUAUAUGUUUGACAGCUGCUAGUUAAUCAUGACAAAAGCUAAAUUGUCAUUCUCUGGAGUAUAAACUGUGACAACAUUUUUAAGGGUGAUCACACCUGAUGCUGUGCAAAAGAAACAUAUUUUUUUUGCUUAUCAUUUAGAAAAAAAUAAUGUUGCCUGUAACUUGUCUUAAAUCAUUUGUGAAACAGAUUCUUGCAUAAUGUGUGAUAUAUUUCUCAAACUUUGAUAUCUACACUUUCAUUCAUUCAAAAAUAUUUAUAUAACAAAUGAAGUGUGUUAUUUAAAGCAUUAAGCACAUUUCCCUUGAAGAGCCUCAUGCAUGCUGUGAAAAUGUUAUUACUCACUUACUCUCUUAUUCCUUACAACUUAACAAAAUAUACAUUAAAUCAGAACAUUUUUCUUAAAUAUUAACAAAACAGCAUCUGAGAAGAGUUGUUGUGUUUAAUAAUUGAUAGUAGGUUUUAAAAGAAGACAACAUUUCCUCAUAAUGGAAAUCUGCAUUAAAAUGGUACGAAACUACACCAAAAAGCUUAAAUUUUAACCAAAAACAUAACACUAGGCCUAUAGAUUGUAUGAAAUCUUAGUCUAGCGUAAAAAAAAAGAAAGCAUAUAUCAUCUGAAUUCAACUGUUUUCUGUCAUAAGGAGAAUUUGAUAGGAAGCUUGCAUUUCAGUGUAGCAAGACCCUCAGCUUUGUAAAGGAAAUGAAAUCAUCUUUGGAAAAACAAGUUCUUACUUCUAGGCAGUAUACCAUUUAGAAUAAAAUAUAAUGAACAUCAUGCAAAAUAAUCACAUUCUAAAAUUUGUACCCAAGUACAAUCUUUGACAAAAUAAUAAUUUCCUCAUUUAAAAGACAAUGAAUCUACUACUUCAGCUUAGUUUUCUCAAAUACAACAACCAUCUCUACAUGUUGUAUUUAUUGUGCACGUGAUAGACAGCUGAUAUGAACUGUAUAAGAAGAGAAUUUGUUAAAGUGUGGUAAAGCUAUAGAAAGGAAGAAAAAAUAUCAUGUUUCUAGGAUUGUGCCAAAUAUUAUAUUAUACCUUUUUCAAAAGUUACAGAAGUUACCAAUAAACAUUAUUGGAUGACAUAUUCUCUUUUUUCCCAAAUAUAAACUGCACAUGUGAAAACAGACAAAUCCUUAAAACAACAAAUCUGCUUUACACGUAAAUAUUCAAAGCAAUAAAUAAAUAUAUUAAGAACAAAUGCAAUUUAUAUCUAAUUUUCUGAAAAUAAUACAAAAUCUAACAUACAAACAUUUGUAAAUUGUCGACAGUGAGGAAAUAUCAGUAAGUAAUUAAUGUCUACUAAAAAUAUCAAGUAACUGUAUUUUAUAUAACACAAUAAACCAGAAAGCCCCCCCCCCCUUUUCCCCUCCUUUGUAAAAUGUUCAAACAAACAAAUAAAUCCCAGAAUUUUGUUAAUUAUUACAUACAUGUAUAUGUUAGCUAUUUUAACACAUUUGUUUGUCUAUUAUCACUGUGCCUUUUGUUUUAUUGACAUAAAAACACAAAUUUCAAGUUACUAGAAUUAAGUUUUGUAACUAGAACUGUAAGUACAUACAGAUUUAAAUUUCACAAUUUUCAGAAAGUCAAAGCAGUAUUGGUCCCUCUGAGAUGAAAAUAAUUGAUGAAAAAGGAAGAAUAAAAUACAAUAAUUCAAAUAUACAAAAAAUGUUUACGACUGCAUACCUUUACAAAUCCAGGUUAUAUCAUAUAAUCUUCCUUUAAUAUUACGUUUUUCUUUAUACACAAAAGUUGAACUCAACAUAUGAAUUGGCAAUUUUAAUAAUUUAUAUGUACAAAUAUAUUAUAAGCUUAACAAAAAAAUAUCAACAGCAUCUUGUGAAGGCUAAGGCCUAAGUAACAUGCAGCCUACUCAUAAUAUAUCACAGAACUUCUUUUUUUAGUGACUAUUACAAUUUUUUUAUCACCGAGGUAGAUUUUAGUCACUGCCUGUCAGAACAGGACUUGAUUUGCAUUUAUGAUUAUUUAACUCUUAGCAUGCACAAUGCUAUUUAUAAUUAUUUUUACUACACUGUACCAUUGACAAUAAAUACCAGUAACAUUCUUAAUAUCAAACAUUAAGGAUCCCUGUCCGUUUAUUAUUACAUUUAAGUACAUAUUUUUAAAAUUUUCUUUCAUCCUUCUCCUAGAGAUAACGUGAUCAUAGAUUAGUGUGGGGUUUUGCUUUUAAGCUUUAACCCUGCUGUAUGUAAAUUGAGGGAGUUGUUUUGUAUGCUAACAUCUAGUAUAAUAAGGACAAUAAAGCAGUAAACUUGUGCUUAUAAAAAUUAGUCGACUCUCAUGAUCUCAAAACUUUAUCUCAAUAUUUGUGUAAUCUCAAAAGUAAAAUCCCUGUACGAGUUGAUAAAUUUGAAGAAGAUUUUGAAUUGACAUCUCAAAUUAUUUCUGUGUGUCUGAUCACAUUAGAGAUGACAAAGAAUGGACUCUAUUUUACAAGUAAUGUGCUCCAUAAGUUAUCAAGCUGUGAACAUGAACAUAAAAAAUAAUUUGUCACAAUAAAAAUGUGAUCCUACCAAAUUGUGAUAUUUUGAUAAAUAUUUUCAAAAUGUGCAUAUGAUUUAACUAAAAGACUUUAAAAUGAUGAUUAUAAAAGAUCAGCACAGUGAGCAAAAGUGACUAGAUGAAUGUCUUUGGUAUGCACAUAUACACUUGUUGAAAGGUCAAGUGUCUAUUAUCAGCAUUUCUAACUCUGUUUAGUUGAUCUUGGUUGAUUUAAAAUCUGAGUGUUGAAAAAAACAAUUAACCCUUAUUGGUCAAAGUUUGAAGUAGGAAAUAUAAAAGCUAAAAAUUAUCUUGAUUACUACAAAACAGUAUUAAAUGAUAAUAUGAAUAAUAAAAUCCACAAUGUUGCUUAUCUACAAUGUAUCAUUUUUGCAAAAGUUGAAGCAAAUAGCAUUCAAAGACAGCACAAUCAUUUGCUGACACUAGUAAAUGUUCAAUUCUGAAUGAAAAAGUGGAUGGUAUAAAAUAAUGUCCAAAGUAAAGAGAUCACUUCAAUGAGAUUCAAUAUGUUAAUGUUAUACAUGGGUGGAAUUAUUUUUUAUUAGUUCUGUGAAUGAAAGCUUCAUGAAUUGCAUUCAUACAAAAAUCAUCCAUCAAAAAUAACUAAAGGAUUUAUAGAAUAAUAUUAUAACUAUCUUUUUUAAAGACUUAACUUUGUAAAUAUUCAAUGAAAUUCAAGUGUUUUAUUUUGAGGAGAUAAAUAUCAAUAGUUGCCAGUUUAGUUAACAUUAAAAGUAUUUUCUAUCAGCAAGAUAUGCAUCUUGCCGACUUUUUACAACCUUAAUUCGAGAACAACCUUAAGUUAUAUACACCCUCCUCCCCAGUAUAAUAUUUUCCUUGCAAAAUAUUUUUUUGUUUUAAGCAGAAAUAGUUAAAUGCAUUAAUAUUGUUAACUAGAACAAUUCACUAACAAAUCAUUAAUGUUUACACAUAAUGGAUAUUCAUUUGUUUUGUGAGUAAAUUGGUUUCGGUAAAAAUAUAAACAAACUCCAGACAAAAUUGUGUUUGCUCUUGAAUAAUGUAAACUGUGAUUUUACUUUUUUUGUUGUUUAAUAUUUAUUCUAGGGAUUUGAAAAGAUUUUUAAUGGCACAUUCUUGUUCAAAUAAUCUCCUUUAAAUAAUACAAGUAUACAUUUUUUAUAUAUAUGCAUAUACACAUGUUAUAUCCUUACAACACAUUGAUAAUUCUUUCAAAUUUUCAAUUAUAAAUAUUUCAGCUUUAUCAAAGUUGAAUACCAUCCAAGUUCCUGUUUUUAAUUUAAAAAUCUAAACUCAUAUUUCUUUUAAACUUUCCUUAAUACUAAUUUUUAGAAUGUGCAAUUACUUUGUCUUUAACACAACUUAUGGGAAUGCUUGGUUAUAAGUAGAGCAAGAGCUAUUCAAUUAAAAUGGAUGUGGGAUUGUAGAGAGAGAUUUCCAAAAUCAUGAAGCAACCCUAACUCUUUCUUUGAAUAAUUUGCAUACUACCAUAUAUAACCCAGACCUAUAUCCCCUCCCCUCAACUCUUCACCACAUAUUCAUUUUAAUGGUAUGGCUCUAAUAUACAUCAUCAAUUUUGUUAAAAUAAAGACAAUGAUGACAACUAAGUACAGCACAUUCCAUUAGGUCUAAAAAUAUCACAGUUAAGAAGUUGAUAAUUAUGACUUUAUAUAAGUAUGUAUGACAAUGCCAUUGCAAGAAAAUAAAACAUAUUUUUCCUAAUUAAGCAAAAAACACUUUUUCAAAUUAAGCUAGAUACUGCACCAUUUAACUUUUUUUAAUAAAAAAAAUUGUUUCAAGAAUUGUAAAGUUUAAUUUAUUUUUCUCACUCACUUCAUCAAAUUUUUGAAAAAUUAUACAAAAAAAAACCCAUUAACAUCUGGUUAAAUUCUAAAGAAAAGUCAAACUUAUAUCACCCUUAAAAAUAGUCUGUCAAAUGAGUUAUUUAAAUAUAAACUUUGGUGGUCUAGGUGAAGAUGGAGUUAUUCCUACUUCCACAAUACUAUAAUCUUGCAGAAACCAUAAGAGGAAAUUUUUGAACACAUUAACUCUGAAUAUUGAAAUUUGAAUUGAAGACCCUAUAUUCUUGCUAAAUGAAAAAGAAACUCUGUCAUAGUAUGAGACAGAUUAUCCAGAAGUCAUCAUAUAUGCUGUUGAUUUCACAAAAAAAAAUACAAUAAAUAAAGAGCUGCUGAAUCAACACCUCUUAUGUUUUGUGCUGGUAGAGUUCCCUAAAGUGGAUACCAAAAAAUACAAAAAUAAAUAGACAACCAGAGCAAUAUUUAUUCUAACAUCAACAGAUGCAAUCUUAAAAAUGAGUUUUAGUUUUGGCAAGAGAGAAAGAGUAUAUCUUGUUUUCAUUAUAAUCUACAUUUAUAUAUAUAGAUUGCAAUUUAGUCACAUGGCACAAGCUAAGUUU
rnacentral:lncRNA from 1 species